rnacentral:misc_RNA from 1 species
CCAGAGAAGUUAAAGAAGGGGAAUAUUUGGUCAAGAGACUCUAUUCCAUCCCCUGAUUCUUGGUUGUCACAGGAAGAUGCAAUAUUGUGUGCUGUUGUGCAUGAAUAUGGUCCACAUUGGAGCUUGGUCAGUGAAACAUUAUAUGGGUGACUGCCGAAAAUCCUACGAGUGAGAAGACAAGCAAUGCAGGCUCUGUAAAGGCCCUUCUCAAAUUAACUGAGGUAAAUCUCUAAGCAAUUAAGGCUCUUUAAAGCCCUUCUCAAAGAUUACAUAAUCUUUGUUCCUUUUCUAAUGACCUUCUCUCUCUCUUUUUCCUUUGAGUGGUCAAGGUCUGCAGCUUGUUAAAGCUCCUAAAUGCGUAUGGAUGAAAACUAUGAAUAAUCAAUGAUCAAUGUAAUAAGUGUAUGGAAUUUGAUAAUUCUGACAGGGAAACACUUUUUAAUGCUUGAUGAUUUAUUUUCCAUUGUGGCAAGAUAAUAUUCAGAUGAUGUUAAAUGUUGCUACUGAGCAGCCUGAUCUUGAAUUACUUCUCCGGAGGCACUUCACUGCCCUUCUUUCUUCAGUAUGGAGGACAGCAUUAUGUGUUGACUGCCAACAAAACCUUUGAUCAUCUAGAAAUGGCCUCAAUUUGAGUGGAAAGUUUUUCAGUUCAUUCAAUCAGAUUUCUUGGAAUUCUAUGAAAGAACCGGCAAAAAGAAUGAAACUCACUAAUUCAGCAGAGAGUUGCAAGUUGUUGUCAGCUGCACUCCAUGAAUCCAACAGCAGACCCUUGGAUGACACACUAUCCAUUUCUAACCGGAUUGAAGAUACUCUUUCCAUUUAUGAACAGUUGGAAAUGUCACUGGAAUUUCAUAAGGGGGAAGAUACUCUUUCCAUAUACGUUUUUUCCUUUUCCGAGUAUUUUCAAUUCAUGUCAUUCAAUUUAUUAACUUCUUGAGAGAUGUACUGGUACAUGAUGAGUUUAGUUUGCUGAGACAAUGUUUAGAAUGUCCGCAAUAUUGCUUCAAAUGAAAAUUUCUUUGAAUAAAAAAUGCAUGAAAAAAAAAUAGAGAUCAUUG